rnacentral:piRNA from 1 species
UACUCAUUGUUACAUGUGUGUGGU